GGGCAUGUAGCUCAGAGGUAGAGCGCUUGCCUCAUAUGCAAGAGGCCCUAGGUUCAAUUCCUAGCAACACACA